CAUCCCCUCGUGCCUAAUCUUCUUUCCCCUCCCUCGUUAACCUACUUAUGGUGAAACACCAAAAAUCCUUCCACCUCAAAACCGCCACACACCAAACCCCAAGCACUGCCAAAACAUUCCCCCAAACAGCCCCAACAUAGACCUCCAAAUAACCCCAGAGACCCCUUGUUAAUUAUCCCUCAUCAUCGAGAGGGAAGCGAAGACACAAGAUGCACAAGUAGGAUUUGGGUUGGAAUGACCACUACCAAUAAUGCCAUUGCCAAUGAGGAUGGGAGGGAAGACAAUAUGAAUAAUAGGGGUACAGGUAAUGGUAAUGUAUUUAACAAAACUUCCAAGUUACAAUGCGAACAAUAAUAAUAAAACCACUUCAUAGAGACAAAUAGAGAACAUAUAGUACAUGACUUAAUGGGGAAGUGGUGUACAGAAUUGUGGUCCAACUUAAAUGUUGCCAAAAGGCCAAGAGGCUAGAAGCACAGACAUGGACAUUAACAUAGAUAUAAAGAAUAAACGGGUUGGGGCUGUUUAGGGUUGUUUGGUGCUGUUUUGACACUGCUUGGGGUUUGGCGCGGUGGACCUAGUGGCGGAGGGGUUUUUGCGUUUUGGAAAACUAUCGCUAUUACUAAAUCAAUUACAAUUAAAAUAUGAGGGUUAACUUUGUCUAAAACUCUUGGUGCACAAUGCUAACAUAAAACUAAAAAAAUUCCUUUACCUAGGUUAGAAAAACCCAAAGAUUAUUCUUCUAUUCAACACUGCCCUUGAAUCAUGAGAAGCAAUCUUCCCGUAUAGUUGAUCUUAUAGAUCUUCUCAUGAACGGUAAUCACUGCUUGAGAGUGUUGAGGUUGAUCUCAUGGAAGAAUAACAUAUAAUGUUGCUGGCUGAGAAGAAUUUUGUUUGGGGACAGAUUCAACCAUUUCAUCAGGAACGUGACCUUCAACAUGAUGAGCUUCAUUCUCGGAAGCAACAAAGAUGCAUAGUGAUGUAGGGGCGGACAUAUCUAGUUGCCAAUAGAUAUUUUCUUCAUUAUGGAUAUGACUAAUAAGGGGCACACCUAGGAUAUAUCUGUAUAGAAAAUGUUUGAACUGAAAAAAGUCAAAGUUGCCUCUAAUAAUUAGAGUGUUCUUCUUAGCUCUAGCAGAUAAAUCGGAUGAUGAAGCUUCCUUGCAACAAGUUCUCAAGUGAGUCUCCCAUAUAACAGCAACUCCAUUAUCAUUUAUCUCUUCAGUGGGCUACUGCAUCAUAAACUCAGCCAUCUUAGUAUCCGUUGGGGGAUCAGGUAUCGUAUCCAGCAAGCAAGGGUUGCAUGUUUGGCUCUUCAUUGAGCUCAUAUUCCUUUUAGAAUCUUUGUCCUUAGUCAAGUCUAGCAUUGGCAGCCUAGGACAUAUCCUUUUAGGAAACAUACCUUCUUUUGUUCAAGUUGUAUGAUGUAGCCAUAAGGUAGGAAUAAAGUUGACAGUCCUGAAUGCUCUAGAUAAUUCAAACUUUGCCUUGAGAUAAGCAUACAUAAAUAAGUCUCCAAUCUCAUCACCUUCUCCAUUUGUGCAAGGAUGUACAAAUUGCUCUGACUUCAACUCGUUAUCAAUGAAUAGAGUCUCAUUUCCAUAGGUUCUCGGCCUCUGAUACUCAACUUUAUCAUACUCAGCUUUCACAAGCAUUGUUGUCCACAUAAGGAUUACAUGCCUAGAAACUCCAACAAUGUGAGGGGUAAAGGGUGGAAACUUCACAAGGUUUGGAUAGGUUUUGGUUGGUGGUAAGAUUUCUUGGGUAGGUGAGUUAGCAUUGGUCCAUGUUCAUUGAACAUUUCAUGGGUAAGGGGACAUUCUCCUUCAUAUUAAAUUUCCAUGAUCCAUGCAUAUAUGGUAGGUCUAGGUUCGAUUUCA
rnacentral:lncRNA from 1 species